ensembl:lncRNA
GCUGAAGAGCUGAAGGCCACUAUUAAAGCAACCUGGGCUCUCAUAACACCUGAGGAGUGCAACAGACUGGUCGACUCCAUGCCACGCCGUAUUGCUGCAGCAAUUCAGGCAAAAGGAGCUGCAACUAACAAAUCGAAAAAAUGCAGAGGCCCGGCAGACUGGAGGGGGUCCACCACCUGCAGCCCUCACAGAGGCUGAGGAGAUGGCCCUCAGCCAACAGAGUAUGCGUCCUGGGGCUGAGGGCAUCCCUGGGGGGAGCUCCUCUGAUCCCCCCCACCCCCCAGGAUAGAAGUGCCUUUACAGUAUAAGAGUUACUGAUGGCAUCAUCGCCCUACUUGAACCAGAUGCCCUCACCAACCUCCAUGCAAUUGUAACAAUUCAAAAGAUGCAAAAGGAUGCUUUGGAGAUCCAAAUUUUGGAACAUAAGUUAUAGGUGGGUGAGGUGCAAACUGGGAUAGGCUACUGUUCCCUGCUCUAAAAACAUAUAUAAAUGACUUUUUUUUUUU